rnacentral:rRNA from 1 species
UACGGAGGGUGCAAACGUUGCUCGGAAUUAUUGGGCGUAAAGCGCACGUAGGCGGUCCAGCAAGUCGGGUGUGAAAGCCCUCGGCUUAACCGAGGAAGUGCAUUCGAAACUACUGGACUUGAAUACUGAAGAGGAUAGCGGAAUUUCCAGUGUAGUAGUGAAAUACGUAGAUAUUGGAAGGAACACCAGUGGCGUAAGCGGCUAUCUGGACCGGCAUUGACGCUGAGGCACGAAAGCGUGGGGAUCAAACAGG